GGGGGUCUGUCUGAUGGGGGUCUGUCUGAUGAGGAGGUCUGUCUGAUGAGGAGGUCUGUCUGAUGAGGAGGUCUGUCUGAUGGGGGUCUGUCUGAUGGGGGGGUCUGUCUGAUGAGGAGGUCUGUCUGAUGAGGAGGUCUGUCUGAUGAGGAGGUCUGUCUGAUGAGGAGGUCUUCUGUCUGUCUGACGGUCGGUCUGUCUAAUGGGCGUUUUGUUUUCACUGCUGCUUUCCUGAAUGCUCCCUGCUUCAUCCCCUGGUGAGAUGGUGAAGAGGAGGAUGUGAUGUCAUGGCUGUCAUGUCAUCUUCUGAUAAAGGUUCCAGGCAAACUUGAGCUUUGAGAUGAAAAUUAUCACAUGUUAAAAAUGCAUUUUUCUCCCGACUGGAAUGGU
ensembl:lncRNA